GCGCCCAUAGCUCAGCCCGGAUAGAGCACAGGCCUCCGGAGCCUGGUGUCGGGGGUUCAAAUCCCUCUGGGCGCGCCA
rnacentral:tRNA from 1 species